AAACCAGCAACUAGACAAAAACUUGGUGUUCGCUAUUUUUAACCACAGGUUCACUUUAUGAAAGGACAUUCUGAAAGGGAAUAUCAAAACAACAGUGUCAUCAGUGAGAAUGAAAUAAUCGCUCAUGGCACAGGAAAGGUUCAGGAAAAAGCAGGUUCCUCAGAAGACGAUGAGGUCAUUCAAGAAGGUCUCCUCAGGCUCAGGUCAGUCUUCUCUACGGCGUCUUACGUGGCUGACUGUGUAUCUGUAAAACUGAGGUACUUCAGCACUUCUGUCCCGCUGACUCUCAUGAACGUAAUCAUUGGGUGGGAUGGGGAAGAAUCGCAAAUUUUGUGCACAGCCUUCAGAGUUCUUGUUGGAUGCAGUCUUGAGUGUUCUGCUUCUGGAAGAAAAAUAAACAAUUACGUAAGGAAAGUGUACUUACAAUAACCCCAUGUCGCAUACCUGUCGC
rnacentral:lncRNA from 12 species